CCUACGGGUGGCAGCAGUAGGGAAUAUUGGGCAAUGGAGGCAACUCUGACCCAGCAACGCCGCGUGAAUGAUGAAGGUCUUCGGAUUGUAAAGUUCUGUGAUUGGGGAUGAACACAAUGACGGUACCCCAAUAGCAAGCCACGGCUAACUGCGUGACAGCAGGCGCGAUAAUACGGAGGUGGCACGCGUUAUCCGGAAUGACUGGGCGUAAAGGGUGCGUAGGUGGUUUAGUAAGUUGGCGGUGUAAUGCCGGGGCUCAACCUCGGCGCUACCGCCAAAACUAUUAUACUAGAGUGCAGGAGGGGUAAGUGGAAUUCCUAGUGUAGCGGUGGAAUGCGUAGAUAUUAGGAGGAACAUCGGGGGCGAAGGCGACUUACUGGACUGUAACUGACACUGAGGAACGAAAGCGUGGGGAGCAAACAGGAUUAGAUACCCUAGUAGUC
rnacentral:rRNA from 1 species